rnacentral:rRNA from 1 species
GGUCACUGCUAUCGNUGUUCGACUAAGCCAUGCGAGUCAAAUGUUCUUCGUGAACAUGGCGUACUGCUCAGUAACACGUGGAUAACCUGCCCUUAGGUCUGGCAUAACUCCGGGAAACUGGGGAUAAUUCCGGAUAGAUCAUAGAUGCUGGAAUGCGCUGUGAUCCAAAGCUAUUGUGCCUAAGGAUGGGUCUGCGGUCUAUCAGGUUGUAGUGGGUGUAAUGUACCUACUAGCCUACGACGGAUACGGGUUGUGGGAGCAAGAGCCCGGAGAUGGAUUCUGAGACAUGAAUCCAGGCCCUACGGGGCGCAGCAGGCGCGAAAACUUUACAAUGCGGGGAACCGCGAUAAGGGGACACCGAGUGCCAGCAUCCUAUGUUGGCUGCCCAUAUGUCUAAAUCACAUGUGUUAGCAAGGGCCGGGCAAGACCGGUGCCAGCCGCCGCGGUAACACCGGCGGCCCGAGUGGUGGCCACUAUUAUUGGGUCUAAAGGGUCCGUAGCCGGUUUGGUCAGUCUUCCGGGAAAUCUGACAGCUUAACCGUUAGGCUUUCGGGGGAUACUACCAGGCUUGGGACCGGGAGAGGUAAGAGGUACUACGGGGGUAGGAGUGAAAUCUUGUAAUCCCUGUGGGACCACCAGUGGCGAAGGCGUCUUACCAGAACGGGUCCGACGGUGAGGGACGAAAGCUGGGGGCACGAACCGGAUUAGAUACCCGGGUAGUCCCAGCUGUAAACUAUGCUCGCUAGGUGUCAGGGACGGUGCGACCGUUUCUGGUGCCGCAGGGAAGCCGUGAAGCGAGCCACCUGGGAAGUACGGUCGCAAGGCUGAAA